rnacentral:rRNA from 1 species
AGGUAAGCUACUAAGAGCGAAUGGUGGAUGCCUUGACUGGUAAAGGCGAUGAAGGACGUACUAGACUGCGAUAAGCUACGGGGAGCUGUCAAGAAGCUUUGAUCCGUAGAUUUCCGAAUGGGGCAACCCAAUGUAUAGAGAUAUACAUUACCUAUAUAGGAGCGAACGAGGGGAAUUGAAACAUCUUAGUACCCUCAGGAAAAGAAAUCAAUAGAGAUUGCGUCAGUAGCGGCGAGCGAAAGCGCAAGAGGGCAAACCCAGUGCUUGCACUGGGGGUUGUAGGACUGCAAUGUGCAAGAGGUAAGUUUAGCAGAACAUUCUGGAAAGUAUAGCCAUAGAGGGUGAUAGUCCCGUAUGCGAAAAACAAACCUUAGCUAGCAGUAUCCUGAGUAGGGCGGGACACGAGGAAUCCUGUCUGAAUCUGGGUCGACCACGAUCCAACCCUAAAUACUAAUACCAGAUCGAUAGUGCACAAGUACCGUGAGGGAAAGGUGAAAAGAACUGAGGUGAUCAGAGUGAAAUAGAACCUGAAACCAUUUGCUUACAAUCAUUCAGAGCCCUAUGUAGCAAUACAGGGUGAUGGACUGCCUUUUGCAUAAUGAGCCUGCGAGUUGUGGUGUCUGGCAAGGUUAAGCAAACGCGAAGCCGUAGCGAAAGCGAGUCUGAAUAGGGCGCUUAGUCAGAUGCUGCAGACCCGAAACGAAGUGAUCUAUCCAUGAGCAAGUUGAAGCUAGUGUAAGAACUAGUGGAGGACUGAACCCAUAGGCGUUGAAAAGCCCCGGGAUGACUUGUGGAUAGGGGUGAAAGGCCAAUCAAACUUCGUGAUAGCUGGUUCUCUCCGAAAUAUAUUUAGGUAUAGCGUUGUGUCGUAAUAUAAGGGGGUAGAGCACUGAAUGGGCUAGGGCAUACACCAAUGUACCAAACCCUAUCAAACUCCGAAUACCUUAUAUGUAAUCACAGCAGUCAGGCGGCGAGUGAUAAAAUCCGUCGUCAAGAGGGAAACAACCCAGACUACCAGCUAAGGUCCCUAAAUCUUACUUAAGUGGAAAACGAUGUGAAGUUACUUAAACAACCAGGAGGUUGGCUUAGAAGCAGCCAUCCUUUAAAGAAAGCGUAAUAGCUCACUGGUCUAGUGAUUUUGCGCGGAAAAUAUAACGGGGCUAAAGUAAGUACCGAAGCUGUAGACUUAGUUUACUAAGUGGUAGGAGAGCGUUCUAUUUGCGUCGAAGGUAUACCGGUAAGGAGUGCUGGAGCGAAUAGAAGUGAGCAUGCAGGCAUGAGUAGCGAUAAUUAAUGUGAGAAUCAUUAACGCCGUAAACCCAAGGUUUCCUACGCGAUGCUCGUCAUCGUAGGGUUAGUCGGGUCCUAAGUCGAGUCCGAAAGGGGUAGACGAUGGCAAAUUGGUUAAUAUUCCAAUACCAACAUUAGUGUGCGAUGGAAGGACGCUUAGGGCUAAGGGGGCUAGCGGAUGGAAGUGCUAGUCUAAGGUCGUAGGAGGUUAUACAGGCAAAUCCGUAUAACAAUACUCCGAGAACUGAAAGGCUUUUUGAAGUCUUCGGAUG